GUGUAGAGAUGGUCUGACUGGUCGCUGUUACUGGGAGGUUGAGAGGAGAGGAGGGGUUGUUAUAUCAGUGAGUUACAGAGGAAUCAGCAGGAAAGGAAACCGUGAUGACUGUGUUUGGAUGGAAUGAUCAGUCCUGGAGUCUGAGGUGCUCUGAUUGUCGUUACUCUGUCACAAUUACAGAGAAAUCCAUCUCCUCCUCUGUCUCUGGUAGAGUAGCAGUGUAUGUGGACUGUCCUGCUGGCUCUCUGUCCUUCUACACAGUCUCCUCUGACUCACUGAUCCACCUCUACACCUUCAACACCACAUUCACUCAGCCUCUCUAUCCUGGGUUUGGGUUCUUGUCUCCUGGUUCCUCAGUGUCUCUGUAGGACGGAGAGUCUCCUCCCGUUUCUCACUGCUGAUCAGUUGAGUCUGUACAGGAUAACACUUACAGAAAUAUGUCAGCUUAUUGUUAUGAACUAAUGAAUGAACUUUGUAUAAAAUAGUGCUGGAGCAGCAUAAAACCUUUCAGACCUGACAACGCCACCUCCUAUUGAGGGUUAGGAGGAACCCUUACUAUGUUAUGUCGUGUGACCAACUCUAGUUCUCCCCUAACAGGAACAAUUAACAGGAGGCAAAUAUUGUACAAAAAUAAGUUUGGUUUUAUUACAAAAAGUUUAAAAGAAUUCCAAUUAAAAUAGCAAGGGCAGAUUAAUAAAAUAAUAAAUUAGAUGGCAGAUACAUGUGGUCUUACUCUCCUCAAAGUAGGAAGGUCGGGUCAGCAUGCGCACACUACUCUGGGAGACGACUGUGUGAGAAAGAAAGAGGAGACAGAAUGCAAAAUAAAACUAAAUAUCAUGCAAGUCACUACAAAAUCUACAGUGUUGAGGUUACAUACACACUGCAACAGUGUGUCACCCAGUGCAGUCUCACCACGAGGAGGCAGUGUGUCGACACGGACCCAGCCUUGUACAGGAUCAAGCUGUGAACAUACAUUAAUCGAGGAGAGAAACCUAUGUCAAAACUUCCAUAUCUAUCUAUCUAUCUAUCGACCACUUGUAAAUGAAAUCACAAAAAAAUUAAUCAACCAAAGCAAAUAACCAAAAGAAACAAAAUGGUAAAAUAACCGUAGAAAACAGUGACUGGACUGGUCCCCCUUUGAGAAAAAACAAACACCACAUUAGUGGCCAGUCACAAAGUUACAAAGUGUCUUGCAAAUAAUUUAUUAGCACAUUAAUAAAAAGAAUAAAAUAUAAGCCUACUUUGCAAGGACACAAACUCCUAUAGCACAGUUAAUGCGGGAGGGGGAGUAUUUUCCGGAGCUCCACAGCCACAGCAGCUCAUUAGUCACGUCAUUAGUCACGUCAGUGGUAAACUGAAACAUACAAAGAAACUUAACUUUAAAGAAACUACAAGUUGAAACACAUUCUAUAAAAGUAGCGCAUGGCUUGCGGUGGCAUAAGCAACGCAAAAGGAUAACAUUUAGCCAAAACGUUAAUUGCUACCACAUAUGGCUAAAACAGCUGAUAGGCAUUACCAUCAAUUUGCCCCAGUUCACUCCGUGAAGGUCGAGAGCUUGCACCUGGCUAUCAACCUAGUGGGACCAAAAUCAUAAAUCAACCAUAAGCUGUACUUGUGAUUGCUCCCCAAAUUACCACAACCAAACAUUUUUGUACCUGGAGAAUCAGGAGAAUCCACACAAACGCAUUGCGCUCAGUGAGAGGUAAGGGACUAAUGAAUGAACCUGGUGAGCUUUUUAUCACUUCCAGAUUGGCAACAGGUCACAUGACCACAUGCCCAAAUCAGCUGGUUUCCCACAUAAUGGAGAAUGACUGAACAGAUUCCUUGUGAACAUUGUAAACUUCUUCCACUUCCAGUCCUUAAAAAAUGGAAGCUGUGAUCAUGAAAUUGUAGAAAUGCCGUUGACUUGUGUCAUGUUUAGUUUUGAAUUGUGUCUCUUUUCACAAUUAAAAGCAUAAAGUUACUGUGAUGUGUUUGUGGUUUUUCUGUUGAACUUUUACACACAAUAAGAUGUCUCGGUGUCCCAGAUGUCUUCCAGGUCGAGCUGCAGCGUGAGAAACCCUCCAAUCAGAGCAGUCAAACCACCUGCAGUACCCUCACAGACGACUAGUGGAUUCGAGGGCGACUUCGAUUCAAUUCCCUUCCUGCCUGCUGCCUGACAGGUGGAGCUGGGACUCAUUCCAGGGAACAGCUCACCUGUGUCAUCCAACAGCUGUCAGAAAACAAACGGCGUAAAGUGAGACACAACACAACUCUGAUGUUUCUGCCUAUGUAUUUUUUGACAAAAAUUGUCAAAAAAUAUUCCAAAAGACAAUGAAAACUCUGAAAAAAGCAAGAGAAACAUAGAAAAAGCAGCUAAAAUGUCUGAAAACAUAAUCAAAAACCUUAAAAAAGGAAGAAGAACUUGUAAAAAGUCCCCCAUAAAUCCUGCCUAUGUGUACAUAGUUUUCUCUCCACGUUAGUCAUAUGGACAUUAGUUUAGUUCAAGUUGAAUAUUGACUGUGUAACAGAUAAAAGAUGUCAUGGAGCUUUAUAACAUGAGACAGACUGUCAAAAGGACUCUAUAUUCUUAUGCAAGGAUGAGAAGAUAGUUAUGAACUGUCAGUAAUAAGUGAUUUUCUUUUAAUAAGCUUGAAACAUUGAACAGUCCAACAUGACUACACUGUAAUAAAUUUCAUGUUAGUUUAACUUGGAAAUGAAAGUU